GGCAGGUCUCCUUCCCGCUGUUUAGGACUUGGCCUUACAAAAGGGAAGACUUGCUCGGGAGCCUUCCGAGGAUUUUAAAUCCUCCUGGGUCAGGGGCAGGCCUGGGGCUGGCAUCAAGGUCUCGGGUUUUGAGACCCCAGGGAGGAAUUCUUACACUGAGGCCACACACUUCUCCGAGCGCGCUCGCCGGCGUAUGCGCGUCGGUGAGGGGCUAUCUCCAGGCGCGAGUGCACAAAAGGUAGCGCGAGUCUCUUCUCAGGCGACUGGAGAUAAGAGGAAAUGAGAGCGGGGUUUUCUGACUUCCAACUCAUUAGGGACCAGGUUGUUUCUUCAGGAUCAGGCACAGAGACUGAAUGGCUCCAAUGAUCAGGAUUUGAAAACCUAAUAUCAGAAUCCGCUGUUUUGUGUCCAGCUCCUGGCUUAUCAGGAAUGUUCCCAAGCAAAUAUUCUCUGCACCUGGCCCAAGGUUGCCCUGUGGAUUGAUCUCUAUGGUAGGGUUGACAGAGAAAAUACAGCAUGCCCAGCUAAUUUUAAUUUCAGAGCAGUUACCUACAGAGUCCAUUGUUCACCUGUUUAUCCUGGAUUUAGAACUAUCUAUGUUUGCUGAUGUCUGAGAGGCUAUGGCUUACUCCAUUUAUACCCAGACUCAAUCUAGAGAGUGUCCUUGCUGGCUUGAUGAGAUAAGCGGCCAUGUUGGGGAAAACCCCAUGGUGAGAAACUGUGGACAGUUUCCAGACAACAGCCAGGAAGAAGCUGGGAUCCUUGAUCUUAGAGCUGCCAGGAAAUGAAUUCUGCCAAGAAUGUGAGUGAACUUGGAAGGUAUUUCUUCCCCAGUUGAGCCUCCAGAUGGGAACACAGUCCAGAUGAUACCUUGCUUGCAGUCUUGUGAGACUGUAAGUAGAGGGACCAUCUAAGCCAUGCCUUCACCUGUAGAAACUGUGAAAUGAUAAAUGGCUAUUGUUUUUAGCUACUAAGUAUGUGUUAAUUUGUUGUGCAGCUAUAGAAAAUGAAUACACUGUGCUGUGCUAACUACCAUAUAGGCCUUCUCUCAGUACCUGAAGUAGCCUCAUGAGCCUGACACUAAUAUUAUUCCCAUUUUACAGAUGAAGAAACUGAGCCUCAGGAACUGAACUGCAGAAUGUCCUGCUCUCAACCACUGAACUAUCAUGCUAUGUUUCAUUUUUAAUGUAUUUCAUUAUUUCACAAAUUCAAGUUUAUCACGGUUUAAAACUUAUCUCCUGAACAUGCCAACUGUAUUUACAAAAAGCCCUACUAGGCACACCUAGUACACAAAAUAAAUGUUUUUAUAAAUGCAA